UAAAGCGUGCGCAGGCGGUUAUAUAAGACAGAUGUGAAAUCCCCGGGCUCAACCUGGGAACUGCAUUUGUGACUGUAUAGCUGGAGUGCGGCAGAGGGGGAUGGAAUUCCGCGUGUAGCAGUGAAAUGCGUAGAUAUGCGGAGGAACACCGAUGGCGAAGGCAAUCCCCUGGGCCUGCACUGACGCUCAUGCACGAAAGCGUGGGGAGCAAACAGGAUUAGAUACCCUGU
rnacentral:rRNA from 1 species